AUGAUGAUCGCCGCCUCCCUUCCGCCUCACUUUUGGGCUGAGGCUGUUACCACUUCCACCUAUCUCAUCAACAUUCAGCCAUCUGCUGCUCUACAGGUGGUAUUCCUCUCGAGCAUCUUUCUGGUCGUUCUCCUGAUUAUUCAGUGCUUCGUUUAUUUGGUUGCGUUUGGUACGUAUUGCGUGCCCCUCGUGAACGCACCAAACACAGCUCAGUCUAUUGAGUGUGUUUUUCUCGGAUACAAUGAUGAGCAUAAGGGCUAUCAAUGUUGGGAUCCUGUCGGUCAUCGGAUGCGUAUUUCACGGGAUGUGACCUUUGAUGAGUCUCGUCCUUUUUACCCGCGUCCAUCCUCCUCAUCUUUUUCCACGGAGGUCAUCUCUUUUCUUACGUUUCCGGAUACACCUCCCUCUGUGCCCAGUAUUCCUACUCCCCGUCCUACUAUUGUAGAUCCGACCCCGUCCUCUCCUACGGUUUCUUCUUCACCCUCACCGCAUGAGUCUCCACCAUCAUCACCAAUACCUUCGCCUUCACCUUCAUCACCGAUACAUUCCCCGUUUCCACCUCGAGCGAUUCCACCUCUUCCCUCCUUUCCUUUCCAUUAUACUCGUCGUCCACGUAUUGUGGAUGAGUCUACUGAUGUGCCCUCUACUUCUGGUGUGUCGUCUUCCACCUCUCAGCCGACUUAUGGUCUUCGUUCUCGGCCUUGUCCGCCCCCUGACCAAUAUUCUCCUUCUCGCUAUGGUCAUUCGACCGUUCUUGAGCCGACUUCUUAUCGAGAUGUUGUUGUUCAUCCAGAAUGGCAGUUUGCAAUGGCAGAGGAGAUUGCUGCCCUUGAGCGCACCGGCACGUGGGAUCUGGUUUCUAUUCCUCCCGGUGUUCGUCCCAUCACUUCUAAGUGGGUCUAUAAGACAAAGACUCGCUUUGAUGGUUCUCUUGAGCAUUAUAAAGCUCGUCCUGUGGCUCAUGGCUUUCAGCAAGAGCAUGGUCGUGAUUACGAUGAGACUUUUGCUCCUGUGGCCCAUAUGACCAUUGUCCGCACACUUCUUGCCGUGGCCUCUGUCCGCUGUUGGUCUGUGUCUCAGCUUGAUGUGAAGAAUGCCUUUCUAAAUGGUGAGUUGGGUAUUCUGUUCCUGAUGGCAUGGUUUGUCGUCUUCGCCGCUCUCUCUAUGGCCUUAAGCAAGCCCCCCGUGCCUGGUUUGAGCGCUUCGCCUAUGUGGUGA
rnacentral:rRNA from 1 species